AACGUAGGGAACCUGCCCAUGCGGCCGGGACAACUUCCGGAAACGGAUGCUGAUACCGGAUAAGGAAAGCGAAGGCAUCUUUGCUUUGUUAAAGGAGCUGCAAGGCUCCGCGCAUGGAUGGACCUGCGGUGCAUUAGCUGGUUGGUGAGGUAAAGGCUCACCAAGGCGACGAUGCAUAGCCGGCCUGAGAGGGCGAACGGCCACACUGGGGCUGAGACACGGCCCAGACUCCUACGGGAGGCAGCAG
rnacentral:rRNA from 1 species